rnacentral:tRNA from 1 species
UCAAGACCAGCUCAGUUAGUAGAGCAUGAGACUGUUGAUCUCGGGAUCGUGAGUUCAAGCCUCAUGUUGAG